UUCCAAUCAGCGGGGAGAGUACCGGUAUGUGGUGGACUAACAUUGUAAAAUUUCCCUCAGCUCCAGGGCGUAAAUGAACCUUCGGACCAAUGAACCUUCGGACUAUCGAGACGCCCCCAAAUGGAGAAGAAAAGCUAUGUGCUUGCAGCACUAUUUCUAUCCGGCAACCAAAGGAACUUCUUGAGAACUAUGUAUGAGUGGGUCACUCGUAGUGGACAGUGGUCAACAAGUCAGGAAGACAGCAGUAGGGACACUCAGAAUUUUUGCACAUUUCUUGUGGAAGAAGUGAGCAAGGACCAGAACUUGUGGGUGGUUACUGAGAGACUGGACGCCAUCGGUGAUCAUCUGUACCUGUUGUCAUGGAGAUCAGGAUGACAGACAUACUCCAGACCAUAUGAUACCACAGCUGACAGCUGAGAUUCAUCAACAGAAAAGCAGCCUGGGAGCCCACCUUCCUAUCAUCAUGACGGCAAGGACAAAUCUGGUUCAGUUCAUCAAAUACAAGUCUUGACCAGUAGAUUAACUUGGACCCCUCCAUACCUAGAUUGAUCUAGCAGGGUUGACCCAUUUCCGAGGGAAUUCUCACUAAAUUUGAGUUCAGAUUAAGCAGCUUAAAAGUCUGGCACACCUACUGAACUUUAUGUCAAUUGAAAUCAAGUGAUGUCCAGUGCGUUUAAUUCUUAAAAAUAAAAGAUAAUAUACAUAUCUUAAAGUUUGAUGUUGUGAAAAACUCGAAAAACUGGAUUAGGAAGAAAACGAAGCCAAUGUUCAGAUUUAUGCAUCGGGUAUUAUUCUCGGAAAUGAUGAGAAGGAAAUAAAUCUGCUAAUUUCUCUGGUAAAAUGAUACAUUUACAGAAAAUAAAAAAAUGGAGGGCAUCCGUAAUCCAAGGACAUCGAAUUUUUUCUGAACUGAAAAAUAAUGCUUUGCUUGUCUUUAUAUGUAUUUAUUUUAUACAGUAGUUACAUGUAGCAUGCAAUAAAGUGACAUGGUAGAACGAAUAUACGGAUAUGUAUGUAUGCAUAUGUUUUUGAGAAAUGUGUAUGUGAGAAGUGAUUUGUAUUGUAUUGUACAUUGUAAUGUUUAUUUUCAGUCUAAUUAAAGAAAAUAUACAUACAAUUUUUAGAGAACGUACGCAUCUGAUUCUAUUUCGAAAUAUUUAUAUACAUUUUUAAUAAUCCUUACAUAGAAUACUUUGAUCAUAUGUUACUGAACAUGUCAAACUACUGUCUCUAAGUGGGUUAUUAAACUCAUCGCUGUAAGUAGCAGGCCUAGGGGAACGAGAUGUGUAAUUUAAAUGAAUCUGCAGAUUGUUACUUUUCAUGAAAUUUGUAUUUGCAACUUAUUCGAAAUGUUUGCACACACUUGUAGAAAAGUGUAUGGCUACCAGGGUGGUAUUAUUGGGAAGUGGGUCGAUAGUAUAUAGAGGCCCAUCUCGGCAUGCCUAUAGCUUGUAUUAAGUGCACGCCUCUGUAGUUUAGGGGUACAGUCGUCGCCUGCUUUGCGGAUUAGAUUCCCGACACAUUUGGAAAACAUGAGAUGAGUUUUGUCUUGAGAAAUGUACUAUGCUUUACAUCAUCUACUUUCCAGG